GCAUGUGUCAGUGUGCCUAUGUGUGUAUCUGCGUGUUAAUGUGUAUGUGUAUAUGUGUUAUAGAAAUCACACAACAUGCAAACAGAGCCCUGCAAACACAAACAUUACAUACAAACACACCAGUUUGCUGAAACACCAAUACUACACACAAAUGUACACAACACUACAUCCAAACAACCCCCUGCAUGCAAAUACAAACAUUACAUACAAACACAUUCCUGUAUUAAAAC